AGUCAUGAUGGCUAUUCUCGUGAAAUAGUUGCUGUGAUUAGCGAUGCGGAGGUGUUGGCGCACCUUCGCAUCGCGCU
rnacentral:antisense_RNA from 1 species